GGGGAUUUAGCUGAGAGGUAUAGCAAUAGGCUGUUAACCUAUGUACAUCGGUUCAAGUCCGAUAAUCCCCUUA
rnacentral:tRNA from 1 species